rnacentral:rRNA from 1 species
AUGGCCGAUAUUGCUCCUGGUUCCAUCAACUUCCACAGGAACAUCGAAAAUUGUGUGGUUCGGAUAGUAUAUCGUGUGGAUGGAGAUGUUGUGAAAUCUACACUGGGUGUUGUGGUUUCAGUUGGGAGAGGCUACUGUGACAUUGUAGCAAGGAAUUCUAUAUUGGAAGUGAAGAAACCGAAUCGAGUUCGGGUUUAUUUUCCUAAUAAUGACAGAGUUCGUAUUACAUCAUCUGAGGACCUUGGCAAUAACAUUGGCAUGUUCCAUAUCUUGGGUAAUGAUCUACAAGUAGCUCCAAUGGUGCUUAGUUCUCAGGACCCUCUUCCAAAUGAGACUAUAUAUCUCUUCACAUACAAAUCAUUUGGAAGACAGUGUGCAAUAUUACCCCCAGGAAAUGUGACUAGCAUUGCUGGAUGUCAGCUUAAACAUGAUUCUACAACUCCUGCCGAGGUUGAUGAAGAAGAUAGUGAUGGGGAAAUUCUAGUUAAUGCUAGAGGCGAACUUGUUGGUAUUGUUGAUGAAAAACACCGUCAACAUGCCACUACUUCAAGAGUAAUAAGAAAUGCACUCAAUAAGUUGGGAGGUUAA